AACGAACGCUGGCGGCAUGCCUAACACAUGCAAGUCGAACGAGACCUUCGGGUCUAGUGGCGCACGGGUGCGUAACGCGUGGGAACCUGCCCUUAGGUUCGGAAUAACUCCCCGAAAGGGGUGCUAAUACCGGAUAAUGUCUUCGGACCAAAGAUUUAUCGCCUUUGGAUGGGCCCGCGUUGGAUUAGCUAGUUGGUAGGGUAAAAGCCUACCAAGGCGACGAUCCAUAGCUGGUCUGAGAGGAUGAUCAGCCACACUGGGACUGAGACACGGCCCAGACUCCUACGGGAGGCAGCAGUGGGGAAUAUUGGACAAGGGGCGAAAGCCUGAGCCAGCAAUGCCGCGUGAGUGAUGAAGGCCUUAGGGUUGUAAAGCUCUGUUACCCGGGAUGAUAAUGACAGUACCGGGAGAAUAAGCUCCGGCUAACUCCGUG
rnacentral:rRNA from 1 species